GACGAACGCUGGCGGCGUGCUUAACACAUGCAAGUCGAACGCUGAAGCUUGGUGCUUGCACUGGGUGGAUGAGUGGCGAACGGGUGAGUAAUACGUGAGUAACCUGCCCUUGACUCUGGGAUAAGCCUGGGAAACUGGGUCUAAUACUGGAUACGACAUGCCACUGCAUGGUGGUGUGUGGAAAGGGUUUUACUGGUUUUGGAUGGGCUCACGGCCUAUCAGCUUGUUGGUGGGGUAAUGGCCUACCAAGGCGACGACGGGUAGCCGGCCUGAGAGGGUGACCGGCCACACUGGGACUGAGACACGGCCCAGACUCCUACGGGAGGCAGCAGUGGGGAAUAUUGCACAAUGGGCGGAAGCCUGAUGCAGCGACGCCGCGUGAGGGAUGACGGCCUUCGGGUUGUAAACCUCUUUCAGCACGGAAGAAGAGAGAGUGACGGUACGUGCAGAAGAAGCGCCGGCUAACUACGUG
rnacentral:rRNA from 1 species